UACGUAGGUGGCAAGCGUUGUCCGGAUUUACUGGGCGUAAAGGGCGUGCAGGCGGUUUGUUAAGUGCAGGGUGAAAGCUCCCGGCUCAACUGGGAGAGGUCCUUGCAUACUGGCGAACUCGAGGGAGGCAGAGGAAAGUGGAAUUCCCGGUGUAGUGGUGAUAUGCGUAGAUAUCGGGAGGAACACCUGUGGCGAAGGCGGCUUUCUGGGCCUUACCUGACGCUGAGACGCGAAAGCUAGGGGAGCAAACAGG
rnacentral:rRNA from 1 species